CACCAAGGUUGCUACAAACAGAGAGAGAGAGAGAGAGAGAGAGACACUGUGAGGCCAGGCUGUUGUGUUUAUGUAGAGCCCACCUGGGGAUGGCUGGCUUCCCUUUUGUUGACAUUUUUUGUCUUGAGUGAGUCACAUGGGCCCCCAUAGUGAAUACAGUCUACUUACUAGAGCAUGGCCUUGGCGUGACCAGGAUCUAGCACGCAGUAGACAUCCAAUGGACAUUUGGUUGACAGAAAUUGAUGUUUGUACCACCUGAAUGAAAUCCACAAAAUAUUCUAUCCCUGGCUUUUUAACUGAGCGAUUUUGGCAAAUGUUCACUUCUCCUAGAG
rnacentral:lncRNA from 1 species